AUGCUUCCCAGGAUCCAGAGAAGCAUCUUCUAUCUCGGGGAGGAGGGUGGUGAUGGCCACCGUGGUGCUGAUGAUCACCAUGGAGAUAACAUUGUUGACAUCCAGCGGCGCCUCGGGGGGCACACCCACGGCCGCCGUCUGCGGCGAGGAGGGCGAGACGUCGUCGUCGGGCUGCAGAUCCUCGUCCAGCACCACCCGCAACCGUGUCAUGUCGUCCUCAAGCAGAUGGUCAGCUCGCCGCCGGCCCGCCGCCGCCUUUCUGGCAGCUUCUCGGGAGCCUGCUCCCUGUGCCGGAGGGAGCUCAGUCCCGACAAAGACGUGUACAUGUACAGGGGUGACCAGGGGUUCUGCAGCGAGGAGUGCCGGCGGCAGCAGAUCUUGUCGGACGAGGCCAGAGAGCACGAGGCCAUGGUCAGCAAGGAGCGUCGAGGUCUGGCUCACCGCCGUCACCACCCCGGGCCAUGGCCGGCGCCGCCGGUGGCGAUCCGGGGCGCGCCGAGGAGAUUACUGGCGGUAGCCUAG
rnacentral:rRNA from 1 species